GUGGGGGAUAUUGCACAAUGGGGGAAACCCUGAUGCAGCAACGCCGCGUGAGGGAAGAAGGUCUUCGGAUUGUAAACCUUUGUUUUUGGUGACGAAUAAUGACGGUAGCCAAAGAGGAAGCUCCGGCUAACUACGUGCCAGCAGCCGCGGUAAUACGUAGGGAGCGAGCGUUGUCCGGAAUUACUGGGUGUAAAGGGUGCGCAGGCGGGAGUGCAAGUUGGAUGUGAAAUGCCGGGGCUCAACCCCGGAGCUGCAUCCAAAACUGUACUUCUUGAGUGAAGUAGAGGCAGGCGGAAUUCCGAGUGUAGCGGUGAAAUGCGUAGAUAUUCGGAGGAACACCAGUGGCGAAGGCGGCCUGCUGGGCUUUAACUGACGCUGAGGCACGAAAGCAUGGGGAGCAAACAGG
rnacentral:rRNA from 1 species